rnacentral:snoRNA from 1 species
UACAUCAUCUCGGCGUUGGUGUUUUCGCUCCUGGCAUAGAACAAACAUACACACCCGUUGCUGGGCACCUGGCUUUGAGCAGUCGUCUUGACUAUCAUGAGAAGUUGGGAAUCAGCUGAGGUUACAUAU